rnacentral:rRNA from 1 species
UACGUAGGGUCCGAGCGUUGUCCGGAAUUAUUGGGCGUAAAGGGCUUGUAGGCGGUCUGUUGCGUCGGGAGUGAAAACUUACAGCUUAACUGUGAGCGUGCUUCCGAUACGGGCAGACUUGAGGUAUUCAGGGGAGAACGGAAUUCCUGGUGUAGCGGUGAAAUGCGCAGAUAUCAGGAGGAACACCGGUGGCGAAGGCGGUUCUCUGGGAAUAUCCUGACGCUGAGGAGCGAAAGUGUGGGGAGCGAACAGG